GGGUUGUGAGGUUAAGCGACUAAGCGUACACGGUGGAUGCCCUGGCAGUCAGAGGCGAUGAAGGACGUGCUAAUCUGCGAUAAGCGUCGGUAAGGUGAUAUGAACCGUUAUAACCGGCGAUUUCCGAAUGGGGAAACCCAGUGUGAUUCGUCACACUAUCAUUAACUGAAU
rnacentral:rRNA from 2 species